GGGGGCGACCUGGCUUCGACGUGGGUUGCGAAACCUGAGGUGCAUGCCGAGAAUGAGAACUCUCGUAAAAAAGACUCAACUAAACAUAAAUGCAAACGAUAAUAACUUUGCAGGUGAAGCUAUUGCAGCGUAAGCUUUAAUAGUUAACCGCACCGUGCGCUGCCUAAAACCGGCGCCCCGUUCGACCGAGCCCGCUUAUCGGUAUCGAAUCAACGGUCAUAAGAGAUAAGCUAGCGACUUUGUGUGUCUCGCACAAAACCGCGAAAUUCAGAGACCCGCUGUGUACCAUCCUGCCCGUCGGAGUGUCCACAGUUAAACCAAAUGACAAGGCUAUGCAUGUAGAUCUAAAGGCAGAGGAUUUGCGGACGCGGGUUCGAUUCCCGCCGCCUCCACCA
rnacentral:tmRNA from 1 species